rnacentral:rRNA from 1 species
UACGUAGGGUGCGAGCGUUGUCCGGAAUUAUUGGGCGUAAAGAGCUCGUAGGCGGUGUGUCACGUCGGCCGUGAAAACCUGCAGCUUAACUGUGGGCGUGCGGUCGAUACGGGCAUCACUGGAGUUCGGCAGGGGAGACUGGAAUUCCUGGUGUAGCGGUGAAAUGCGCAGAUAUCAGGAGGAACACCGGUGGCGAAGGCGGCGUUCUGGACUGCAACUGACACUGAGAGACGAAAGCCAGGGGAGCAAACGGG